UACGAGGGGACCUAGCGUAGUUCGGAAUUACUGGGCUUAAAGAGUGCGUAGGUGGUUGAUAAAGAUAGGGGUGAAAUCCCAGAGCUUAACUCUGGAACUGCCAUUAAAACUUUUCAGCUAGAGUAUGAUAGAAGAAAGAAGAAUUUCUAGUGGAAAGGUGAAAUUCGUAAAUAUUAGAAAGAAUACCAAUUGCGAAGGCAGCUUUCUGGAUCAUUACUGACACUGAAUAACGAAAGCAUGGGUAGCGAAGAGGAUUAGAUACCCUCGUAGUCCAUGCCGUAAACGAUGUGUGUUAGACGUUGGAAAUUUAUUUUCAGUGUCGCAGCGAAAGCGAUAAACACACCGCCUGGGGAGUACGACCGCAAGGUUAAAACUCAAAUGAAUUGACGGGGAGCCGCACAAGUAGUGGAGCAUGUGGUGUAAUUUGAAGAUACGCGCAGAACCUUACCUACACUUGACAUGUUCGUCGCGACUCUGAGAGAUUAGAGUUUUCGGUUCGGCCGGACGAAACACAGGUGCUGCAUGGCUGUCGUCAGCUCGUGUCGUGAGAUGUUGGGUUAAGUCCCGCAACGAGCGCAACCCUCACUUUUAGUUGCCAUCAUUAAGUUGGCCACUUUGAAAGAACUCCCAGUGAUAAGCUGGAGGAAGGUGGGGAGGACGUCAAGUCUUCAUGGCCCUUACGUGAUGGGCUCCCCACGUGCUCCAAUGGUAUCUCCAACAGGAAGCAAGACUGCGAGGUCAAGCAAAUCCUUAAAAGAUACCUCAGUUCGGAUUGCUCUCUGCAACUCGAGUGCAUGAAGUUGGAAUUACUAGUAAUCGUGGAUCAGCGUGCCACGGUGAAUGCGUUCCCGGGUCU
rnacentral:rRNA from 1 species